UUAAGUGAAUAAGGGCGCACGGUGGAUGCCUUGGUACUAGGAGCCGAUGAAGGACGGAACGAACACCGAUAUGCUUUGGGGAGCUGUAAGUAAGCUAUGAUCCAGAGAUUUCCGAAUGGGGGAACCCAACAUUUUUAAUCGAAUGUUACUCUCAAUUGAAUACAUAGAUUGAGUAGAGGUACACGCAGGGAACUGAAACAUCUCAUUACCUGCAGGAAGAGAAAGAAAAAUCGAUUCCCUGAGUAGCGGCGAGCGAAACGGGAAAAGCCCAAACCAAUAAGCUUGCUUAUUGGGGUUGUAGGACUGGAACGUGAGACUGAGAUUUAUAGCAGAAGAUGUCUGGGAAGGCACAUCAAAGAAGGUGAUAAUCCUGUAUGCAAAAUAAAAAUCAGCUCUACCAGUAUCCUGAGUACGGCGGGACACGAGGAAUCCCGUCGGAAUCCGCCAGGACCAUCUGGCAAGGCUAAAUACUACCUAGUGACCGAUAGUGAACCAGUACCGUGAGGGAAAGGUGAAAAGAACCCCGGGAGGGGAGUGAAAUAGUACCUGAAACCGUGUGCUUACAAGUAGUCAGAGCCCGUUAAUGGGUGAUGGCGUGCCUUUUGUAGAAUGAACCGGCGAGUUACGUUUACAUGCGAGGUUAAGAUGAAGAGUCGGAGCCGUAGCGAAAGCGAGUCUGAAUAGGGCGACAGAGUAUGUGGACGUAGACCCGAAACCAAGUGACCUACCCUUGUGCAGGUUGAAGGUGCGGUAAAACGCACUGGAGGACCGAACCAGGACACGUUGAAAAGUGUUUGGAUGACGUGAGGGUAGCGGAGAAAUUCCAAUCGAACUUGGAGAUAGCUGGUUCUCUCCGAAAUAGCUUUAGGGCUAGCCUCGGAAUUGAGAAUCUUGGAGGUAGAGCACUGUUUGGACUAGGGGCCCAUCUCGGGUUACCGAAUUCAGAUAAACUCCGAAUGCCAAUGAUUUAUAUCCGGGAGUCAGACUGCGAGUGAUAAGAUCCGUAGUCGAAAGGGAAACAGCCCAGACCACCAGCUAAGGUCCCAAAAUAUCUAUUAAGUGGAAAAGGAUGUGGAAUUGCACAAACAACUAGGAUGUUGGCUUAGAAGCAGCCAUCAUUUAAAGAGUGCGUAAUAGCUCACUAGUCGAGUGAUUCUGCGCCGAAAAUGUACCGGGGCUAAAUAGAUUACCGAAGCUGUGGAUUCAUCCUUUUAGGAUGAGUGGUAGGAGAGCGUUCUAAGGGCGACGAAGCAUGAUCGUAAGGACAUGUGGAGCGCUUAGAAGUGAGAAUGCCGGUAUGAGUAGCGAAAGACGGGUGAGAAUCCCGUCCACCGAAUAACUAAGGUUUCCUGGGGAAGGCUCGUCCUCCCAGGGUUAGUCGGGACCUAAGGCAAGGCCGAUAGGCGUAGUCGAUGGAUAACAGGUUGAUAUUCCUGUACUUCUAUAUUUCGUUUGAACGAUGGAGGGACGCAGGAGGCUAAGAAAACCAUGCGAUUGGAAGAGCAUGGCUAAGCAAUAAGUUGGUUGAUGAGUAAAAUGCUUGUCACAUAUACAACAAGUUGUGAUGGGGAGGGAAAUAAAGUACCGAAGUUUCUGAUGUCACACUGCCAAGAAAAGCUUCUAGUUAGAAAUAUUGAACCCGUACCGCAAACCGACACAGGUAGUUGAGGAGAGAAUCCUAAGGUGAGCGAGCGAACUCUCGUUAAGGAACUCGGCAAAAUGACCCCGUAACUUCGGGAGAAGGGGUGCUGACCAAUGGUCAGCCGCAGUGAAUAGGCCCAGGCGACUGUUUAUCAAAAACACAGGUCUCUGCAAAAUCGAAAGAUGACGUAUAGGGGCUGACGCCUGCCCGGUGCUGGAAGGUUAAGAGGAGAGGUUAGCUCUUGAAGCGAAGCUUUGAAUUGAAGCCCCAGUAAACGGCGGCCGUAACUAUAACGGUCCUAAGGUAGCGAAAUUCCUUGUCGGGUAAGUUCCGACCCGCACGAA
rnacentral:rRNA from 1 species